UCAACCUUUAAAUGAUCAUCUGGAGCAAUUAACCCCCUAGGAAACUCUGGAGAGAAGCCACCCUGGGCAAAGGCAGUAGGAGAGCAGGUGACCUGGUGUGGCCCUGGGGAGGAGCACAUAGGCACAGUUGGUUGGUUCAGAAAGAAGCCCAACUUGGAAACACAGGUCCUAGAGAAGCUUCUCCAGGAUUUUGAGAUUGGAACCCAGUGUCUGGGAGGUGUGCAAGAAGGGAGCCUCUAAGUCUGGGGCAGUGGCAGGGGACAGCUCAAUGCCCUGGAGCGCCUUUUCACCCGCUUCCACCUGCUGUGAAGCCCAGCUCUGCCCUCCAUAGUUCCUGGAUCUCGGAUGCACCUCCCAACCUCUCUGAACCUCUCUUGCAUUUGUCUGGGAGAUGCAGAAACAAUAAUGCUUUCACGAGAUGGUUGCAAAGAUUAAAUAACUUCAGGAGAACAAAGCACCUCUUAUAAUCCCUGGCACGGAGGACAACUCCAUUCCAGUGCUGAGUCAAAGUUCAGACGCAGGGCAGCCAUGUUUCAAGCCCAGGGCGAUGUCUUUAUCACCCAGGGUGGGAGGACACGGUCCUUGACCUGCAAUGGCUGAAGGCCCUUCCCAGGAUCCCUGCUUCCUUCCAGCACUAAGGCGUCCGUCUCCCCACUGCUGGGCCUUCGGGUACCCAGAGUCAGCCUCAUCGACGGGCCCCAUGACACACCCGCGCUUCCCAAAGCCUCUGCGCGCUUCUGACCAAUGGGCACAGGCCCAGCACUUCUGAGGUGGUUCGAGGUCUGUCAGCCAAUUUCGCCAGCGAGCCCCAGACUUGCAGGGAGCGGGGAUCAGAGGCGGGGAAGACACACCUCAUUAGCCAGCCCUAGUGCCGCUGGCUCCGUCACCAUGGCAGCCAGCCCUCCCAAGACCAGGUGGUUUUUAUUACCGAACUUGGAAAAGUUUACAGCGGCGCCAACAAUGAAUCUUUAUUCUGUUGUUAAUAGCGUGUCUCUUAUUAGCAUGUAUCUUUUCCCCUCCUUAAUAACCUUUCCAUUUCCAAGCCGCAUUUAUAAUUAAGUCAUUAAUCCCUUCCUGGAAUUUGUUUUUCUGAAGCUGCCAACCAGAGGCCCCGUCUGGCGGGCGUGAAUGGGGAGGGCAGACGCCCCACCUCGCUGCUCUGGGAAUGUCGUUCUAAUUAUUGGAUCCUGACCCAGCAGCGCGCUGAUAAGCAGGGGGUUGGAGCCGCCCUAUCGUGGAGGAGCUCAAAGCCUGCUUAAGGCCUUUCCUCUACCCCUUCAAGCCUCCCUGCCAAGCAAUUAGCCUCACGGCUGCCUCAGACUUGGCAGCCCGGGAGGGGCCAGUCCCCACAGGACUGUGGUGGGGAGGGCCCAGGGGCCAGCAAUGCCUUCUGGCUCUGUCCCCACCAGAGGCAGCCCUGGAGGGCCUGGACUCCCCCUUCUCUUUCCCUUCAUGCAGGCCCUGGGUUCCAGUCUACAUAACGGGGAGCAUGGGAUUCAGUGUGUUCAUCUUGGGCUUCUGUGAUGGGCAGACUUGUGUCCCCCCAAAAUUCGCAUGUCCUAACCCCCAGGAUGACCUCAGGAUGUGACCAUAUUGGAAGGUAGGGUCUAUCCAAAAAUUAAGUUACAACAGAUUUGUGAGGACGGGUGCUGAUCCACUGUGACUGAUGUCCUUAUAACAGGAGAGCACGUGAUGACACAGGGGGAAGAUGGCCAUCUACAAGCGAGGAAAGAGACCUCAGAAGCAGCCAACCCUGUCGACACCUCGACCUCACCCUCCAAAGCUGUGGGAAAGCACAGCUCUUAAGUUGAGCCCCCAGCACAGGGCCCUUUGUUAUUGGCAGCCGAGGCGGACCAAGAUGGCGGCCCACCCCCUGGGACGUGCUCUGGUUCUCCUCCCACUGAUGGGCCUUCAAAUACUCCAAGGGUCAGGGGAGAGGCAUCCAGGCCUCCUGGCUCCCGGUUCCAGGCUGUGCUCAAGAGACAGGGCUUGCCCAACAGUGAAGAGGGGCAGAGAGGUCCUCUCCCACAGCUUCCAUGGGCUCCAGCCUCGGGGGUCGGGGGAGGUUGGCUUCUAGAGGCAGGGACUUGGCCAUGGCAUCCACCCAAGACCUUGAAAGUGAGUCCAGGCCAGGUCCCUGUGCCAGCCUCCUAUGGCAUGGGGGCCAACAUGGAGUCAAGAGCUGGGCAUCAGGGUGGGUACAGGUCAGAGUUGGGAAGGGCCUGCCAGCCUUGGAGGUCUGCUGUGCCCAGGCUGGCCUGACAUGGGGCAACUAGGCCAGCUUGAGGGUCUAGAGGACAGACACCUGGAGAAUUGUGGCCCACAUCUUCUUGCUGCCCCUGGACUGUCACCACUCUCCCGCCAGCCCUAAAUGACGAAUGCCCUUAAUCUUAUCCCCAAGACCCCUCAGUGUAUCUGCAUUGCUCUCAGCAUGGCUGACCAGCCACCAGUCUGGCCCCUACUUUAUCCUCAUGUACCCUUCCCCCAUCACGCUACGCUUCUCACUCUUCCCAUCAUAACAUGUUCUUUCACACCUCAUUUAUCUGUCCAUCCACCCAUCCAUCCAAAUAUCUAUUCAGUUUCUGCCAUGUGAGUCCUGUUUGAGGCUCUGGUGAUACAACACUGAGCCACCGUUCACAGCACCACCUCUCAAAACUCAGUCUUAACGGGGCUCGACACCAAUCCCAUCAACUGACUUACAUCUAAGCUUAUAGACCGAGAAGCACCAUAAAGGGAAAACUCAAGAGUGGUAAGCCUGUAGAACCAUGGGGCUGACCAGGUUGGGGCUGAGACCUGGACCUCAAGUAGGAGCCAACCAGGAGGAAGGAAAGGAAGAGUGUUUUCAAAGGGAACAGCACUGCAAAGUCCCAAGGGCAGGGAGCUGGAUGAAGAAACCUCAAGUGACAGGAGCACAGAAUGAGGGGGAGAGGGGCAGGGCUGAGGUUAGUUAGAGGCAGGGGUUUGGCGCUGGACCAGGAGCUCUUGAAAGGUCAAGGCUGCAUGGAUACAUCUUGUCCCUAGGACCAUACCUGGUUUGAGUGAGGAGCUAAUAUCUGAGACUGUCACUAGCCAUCCUUUGUGUAGGGAGGGCAGCUAGUUCAAGGACUUCUGUUGCACAUGACCAGACUCCUAUACAUUACCCUCCAAGGGGAACUGUCAAGGUCAUCUCUCUCCUCUAGGCUUCUGAGUCCUUUUUUCUCCUCUUUCACUGUUAGUAUUUGGACAGGUUCUUCUCCAGGAGUUUGGGGUAUGGGUCACUCAGGUUUCUACAGCCCAGCCCAAGUCGUCACUUUCUCUGGCUCUGCUCAACUUGUCAGAUCACACACAGUCACACAGGCAGGCAUGCACACUGCAUGCUUCUUGGGGUCCCAUGGGGGCAUCUGGCUUGUGCUCACAAACCAGAGUCUGCGGUGUUCCAGUGCUGCCCUGGGGUGACUGUGCUCACACCACCUCUGACACUUCCUGGUGCUGAACGAAUGCUACAACCAGCCAGCAGUGAGCUGCCAGGCAGGUUCCCAUCCAGAGGCGAAGACAAGCCCGUUCUACAUUCUACAUAAUUGCACCUGGUGUCCAGUUACAGUCCUCUCUCCUUAGGGCUUAGUCUGCAGAAGGGUUUAUGACGGAAUGUGUAUGAUGCUAAGCCCCCCAGGUCCCGCCCCUCUGGGGCUCGUCUCACACACACACACACACACACAGGGGUGCCUCCCUCCAGCCUUCAUAUAUGCCAGCACAUGCUGGGGCACCCCUGGGCAAAUUUCCUCACAAGAUGACCAAGCAGGCUUAGAAUUAUCUGGAUCCUCACACAGACAUGACUCAGGCUCUGGCUUCCCUUUAGUGUACAGGGUCGUUAUUUUUUAUAGAUUACCAUAAAUGUGCAUUCCAUUUUGAGUGCUUCCCCCCACUCUACAUGGUAAUAGGCAUGCCUGGGUUCUCAAGGUCCUUGUAAGCAUAGUUCCUAACAGCUCCCUGCCAGUCCCAUAAAUGGGCUUCCUACUUUACCCAAGCACUCCCCCAUUGUUGGGUGCGCAGCUAGUUUCCAGGUUAUUGCUGUUAUAACUGAUGUGCAUGGAAAGCCACCCUAUAUUGGUUGCUUAGCAUGUGUUUUCUGAAGGACCAGGUCAGGAAGUUUGAAAAGCUUUAGUCCCUGGAGUUCAACUGCCAUCCACUGGAAUUGCUAUAGCGUCUGCCUGGCUGGAUUACCUCUCGUUGAGAAGGCCAGGAAUGACUCUUGAAGCUCAGGAUUUUAUAGAGAACUAAAGCUAUGGGCCAAGGACUGAUUACAGGCCAUAGAACCACCCAAGUAGAGUGUUUAACUAAGCAUUUAAGCAUAAAUAUGGAUCAAAAUUAAACUAUCGCUACCAUGGCUCAAAACUAUAUUAAGCUAUUGCUACCAUGGGGAUCUUGUAUUAAUAGCAAUCUCUCCUCCUGGGUUGUGUGAGCAGGGAGUAUACCCCUUAGCUGGGGCAGGUAAGGCUCAGGCACGGCCCUGGAUUGCCCUUUAUUGUCUGGAGACGGGGUCCAUCCCCUACGUCUCCAAGUUCACCCUGGCCCCAGGUCAGACUGUCUGCACUGUACCAGGCAUUGGAUACCUGCGCCAGGGCUGGCCUGACAAUGGCAGAGGCGUUCAUAUGCUAAAAUGGUGCAAAGUCCCUAUAUCAAGGGCAGGGUCUUGAACCGCUGCAUCUCUGAGGCUUUGCCUAUUUUUGCUCCUAUUGAAACCUGCUGCCAAAGCUGGAGGAGUGACUCUCCUCCAGUGAGACAUUUGUUGCCUCUGGGUGCUGGUAUAAAAUGGGCCCUUCUCUGCAUUCUGGUAGUCGGUGGGGCUCAUGGACCUUCUCAGCUUUUCACAGGAAGAGAAAAUCUACUCCGUAUACUCGAUUCCUUCAUUCACGCGUAGGCCAUUUCCUAGGCUGCCUAAGUAAGUCCACUGCGCUUGCCGCACCUCACACAGAGGCCGUGGUUGACAUCUCUUCUUGUGUCCUUGUGUACAUGUGAGGGGUGUUUAACUCUUUCACGUCACACCUUCACCAUUUAUUAAAACUAAGGUGAUAACUUCCAGAGUUAACAAGAGCGUUCUUCCCAGGGGCCUACUUGCCUUUUUGAACGGGACAGUUCUUAGGAUCAUCUUUUAAGAAUGAGAAGCAGAGCAUCAUGGGAAAAUGACAGGCAGGGAUAAGGGUUUAUAGGGGCACAUCUCUUCAGGGGCCAUCCUUGAAGGCAUUGGAAAAAGUAAUUUCUUAUUUGGUUGGUUAUAUCAGAGACCACAGCUACUUGUCAAAGACUCAGGGACAGGUGGGGAUUUUGUUAGUGACCAAGUCAGACUGGGGUCAGCCUGCCCCUGAGCUCAAGUCCUGGCUCCCUCCGAGCACGGCUGUGUGACUUUGGUAGAAACACCUUCUGGGCUUCAACUUGUCUCAUAAGCAGAUCUGAGUCAAUAGUAUUAAUACUGAAGAGAUUAAAUGAGAUUCAUGUCAAGUGCUUAAGGCAGUGCCUGGCACACAGUGGGGCCUAAUCAUUGCUGCUAUUAUAAGCUCAUUUUCGAAAUUGCCUCCCUCCUGGUGCUCCAGCAGUACUGCACACCAUAUACAGUCUCGCAACUAACAGAUGACGUUCAUUCCAUUAACCCUUUGAAUUCUAACAACAGAGGAAAAUUAAUUUCCUGCUCAUAUAUCAUCCUCAUCGCUAAAACGUGAGCAAUCCUAACGUCCCCUCCUUACAGGGCUGUGCGAGAAUCCCACCAGAAGGCCUGUGUGUUAGAAAAUCUUGUAACUGCCACAAGAGCACACAAAGGGAAGCUGUGUGACCAUUUGUGCCUUACUUUUGCAAAGCUACAUCUGUCCUCCAACUGCUAAGUUCCAGACACACGCUGUGGCCCUUUUGUCCGUAGCCCGGCAUGUGAAGGCUACAGGGCAGACGAACACCAGGGUGCACUGUGGCCAAGAUCUCAGUUUAUUCCUCUGCAAUUUUAGGCAAGUUACUAAGUCUGAGACUCAAGCUGCCUCUGCUUUGAAAUCACAUGGUUCGAUCUCAGAGUUGUUAAAUCCCAGUGGUAUAAUUUAGGUAAAAUGACCAUUUUUCAACUACUAACAUCUGUCUCUGUGCUAGACAAGACUGUAGGGCAAUAGGAAUAGGUGCUGAGCAGAGAUGAGCCCUGCCCUCUUGGACUGAAGGCAACAGAUAUGCACCAUGUGUAACUGGGGUACCAGUAACACAAAAUUUGACUCCAAACAGCUUUGACAAGCCAGGCAAUUUAACAUCUUACCAUCUCCCAAGAUAGGCCUAUCCCAGCAUUGGCUAAUUCAUAGCUCCUGUGUAUUCAAGACAUUCUUUCCACCUUUCAGUUCUACAAUCCUUAGCAUACUGAUGUUUGGCUCCAGCCCCAUGCCCUCAUGGUUACAAAAUGGCUGCUGAGGCUCUGGGUUUAGCAUCCUCACAUGGCAUUGGAAGAGGCCAGGAAGGCAAAGUCCCCCUCCUUGGUGUCCAUUUUUGUUUUCUGGACUGAAGAAACCAUCUUCAGGCAUGCCAGUCAGUACCAUUUAGUACUUUCAAUGUUGCCCAGUAUCAAGUUCCAAAACAUGUACACCCUAGAAGAGAACCCUUAUGUCUUUUGAGGAAACCUUUCCUAGAAUCUCAAAAGAUGUGCCCCUCAAGUCUCAUCAACCCAAAUUGAGUUACAUGAUUGUUCUUAAAGCAGUCACUGGCAAGGAGAGUGGCAUUACACUGGGCCAAUCAGAAGUCCCUACAGUUCAGCAGCCCCGGCAGCACAGGACCGUGACCAGGACCAUAUGAUUCCCUGAACAAAUAAGUUCAUCCGCACAGGGUGGAGAGUACACAGAUGCCCAGGGGGGUGCAGCCUUUCCCUUAUUAGUGACUGUUGGACGAGUGGGCAGAACACACCCCAACCUUUCCCAUUUGCCAAAAUGAAAAAACAGUAGGUGCAGCCCAUAUAGCCCCCCUCCAAGGGAAUGCCCAAUUAGUUCUCAGCGCCUGGAGUAGGCAACUUUGCAAUCAGAACAGCAGUUUCAGAGACAGCAGAGGAACUGGCAUCUGGAGCCUGGAUGCCUUCCCAGCCUCUCACAAAUUCUCCAAUUACACCGCUUUUCGGAUCUUUUUCACUACCCCAAACCGACUGCUCUCCUAGUCUUUGAAAAUGCUACUCAGAAACAGACCAUAUUAUGUGUUGGAGACACCUGUUUGCAAUCACAUGGCCUUUUAUGGAUCUAUUUGGAAGCCUGUUUUCGGGAGCUACCUAGAAAGCCAGAAUGGUACAGCUAACACCUGCAUGAAAUGUACUCCAUGCUGGAGGGUCUGCUUCCCUUUCUUCCUGGUGUCAGAGACUUGUGAGGAUGGCAGCACCCUUACCUGUCUGGGGGUGCCUCAGGCACAGGGAACACCCCACAUCUUGCACACACCCCCGCUCCCCACCACAGGAUGAAGGGCUAACUGGCACCUUCCCUCCUUCCUGGGGUGAGGGCUCAGGGGACAAGGUGGGCCAGAGGUUCCUGUCACAGGCAGGCAGAGGUGAUGCCUUGGCAAGCGGGGGUGGUGGUGACUCAUCUCCUGUCUCAGAGAGCCAGCCAUUCAUUCAUGGCGCAAACAAGGAUGGAGGUCAGAGGUGGCCCAACGCUGGGCUAGGUGCCAGACACUAUGCUGCUGCGUGGACCCAGCCUCCUUGGAGCAUAAAGUCUAUAGAAUCAAAUAACCUUCCAAAUACAAUCGCACACCAUGGAGAUGCCUCAUGUUUGCAACACCUGACUGGCCCAUUUAUGCGGGGGGUGGGGGGUGUGCAGGGAAAAAACCCACCAGCAAUUGUAACAGUCUUACUGUUGGACAAUGUCACACCAACAGAGCCCAGAUGGGGGGGCAGUGGCCAUUCACCUUAACUUUGGCCUUUUUACACCCCUUUGAGGCUGCCUCGAAGCAAGUCCAAAUGCUCCUCCACUAAUUUUGCACAUUCAUCUCUUGCUAGUCUCUGGCUUGCAGUUUUUUUCACAGCUGGAUGGUUGUGUAAUAACGUACUUAUAAUAAAAGGGAAAUUGUAGAUCUGAGUCAGAGGUCAUACUUUCUUAAAGGGCCAGAUAGUAACUUUUCCACGCUGCAGGCCCAGGCUGCAGGGUCUCUUUUGCAGCUACUCAGCUCCGCAGUUGUUAUCAGGAAAGCAGCCCAUCUGUGAAUGAACAGGCCUGUUUCCAAUAAAGUUUUAUUUAGGGACUGAAUUUCAUGGUUUUCACAUGUCACAAAAUACCAUUCUUUAGUUUUUCCAGCCAUUUUAAAACCUAAAAAUGCACUCUUAGCUUGAAGGCCACACAAAAACAGAUUUUUUGGCCUGUGAGCUACAGCUUGCCCUUCCCCUAGGUAGGUGGUGGGAUGUAGGUAUUUUAUCAACGUCGAGCAAUAUUAAGAUUUCUACAGAAAAUGAUGAGACAUCAGUGGCUUGUUUUUUUUGUUUUGUCUUGGUGUUUUUCUUAAUCUGUUUGGCUAGCCACACUGAGGUACCCUCUUGGUUAACUACUCUGUCCACUUUCUCUUUUGCACCUCCUUAAGGAAUCUCACCCUGCCCUGACAUUACAGGUGUCCUGUAUGACAUAUCACAGAAGUACAGGAUACAGAGAGAUCUAGGAUUUCUGUAAACCAAAAGGAUACACCUGUGUGAUGAGAGCUUCGAUGUGGCUAACUCACCAGGUGCCCGUGGUUACUGACUGUCCCUUCCCAGUGACUGGAGGUACUCUCAGCUUCCUGCCCAGCUCUCCUCAUUUGAAGGUCUGUUUCUGGCCAUUUCCAAGUCUUCCUGUUUCCCCUCCCCCACCUUUCUCAACAUCCUCCCACGGGCCCCUGAGUGGUGACAACAGCCUUCCUGGCUCUAGACAGUGGUCCCACGUUCCACCGAGAUUCAUUUUAGGGAAGGCCCCGGCUACCCACACAGCUUCGCCACCCCAUCGCGUGGAUGCUUUAUUUAGCUGAUGAAGCGUCCGUCUUCACUUUAUUCAGGGGCAAGGAAAGAGAAAGAAAAGGGACUUGAGGUGGGAAGAAUCACUUCCCAGAAAGCAGCAGGGAGGCCCCCACACCUUCCGCUAGCCUCAUGAAACCUUGGAGAAGGCUGGGUUUCCCCACCUGUGCCCACCCCUCCUCCAGGGCAUUCUUCGUGCCCUGGACUCUGCUGCAACAGCUGACCCUAUUUUUUAGUGCAGUCAGUGAAUUUUAGCCUUUAAUGCUCUUCUUUCUCAGAGGCAGGAGAGAAGUGGUGCAGCUGGAUGGGACAUGGGAAAGGAAAUGGCUUUGGCAGGCCCGGUCCAAAUCCUAGGAGGCAGCCCUGGCUGAAAUCGGGGAAAGGGAACCCUGCUCCUGGGGGUUUGUUCUCAGUGUUAGACAAUCUUUUUUAAAGGGUAGAACAGGAGGAAUUGAGGCACGAUUAAGGCAGACCUGGAUUCAGCUCCCUGCUCUGCCCUGAAGCUGUGAGACUAACCAUUUAAGACUUUAACAGGGAGAUGGAGCAAGAUGGAGCAUGGGCCAGAAGUGGGGAAGGGAGCACGGGCAUCUCACAGCCAUCCUGGCAUGAGGAAUCGAACCAACUCCUGUUCACCGUGUACCGCAGAUUCCCUCUUCAACCAGAGCAUCCAUUCAAAAGUCACCUGGACCAAAUGGAUGAAGGAGACAGAUGUUUUCGAACCUCAACAAAAGAUUAGCCAAUGGAGUUCUUUAAAGGAUGCCUGCCUGAGUGCAUGUAUGAAAUAAUGCUCACUUUACAAGAGACCAGUCUGCCCACAGUGUUUCCAGGCAAAGUCACUGCAUAAAGCAAGUUACCUCAUGUUUAUCUGCACCUAAUUCCCAGCCCAAACACACUUGACUAUUUUGGUCUAGACCACAUUUGAUCAUUGCAAACAGCCACCAAAUCCCUCUCCUCUCCUAUUUACGGAUCGAGGCAGCUGCUCUAUUUGCAUGCCCUGCUCCUUAGUAUAAACAGGACUCUGAUUUCCUAACUUUCUUUGGGGAAUUCCUCCUAGGCGCCCAUGUUUAUUUAUGAAGCCAGUUUGGAAGCACAGCAGACAUGACUAAGUUCUGGGCUUUAGCUGUGGUUAGCUGCGGGGAGCUGGCAUUACCUGGAUGAAAAAGGAGGUAAAGGUGAGGUGGCGGGGGCCCCACCCACAGGAAGGGAUCAGGUUUUCCUUGACAAUCAUCCUGGGAUUACCCAUCACCUUUCUUUGGUUACUUCAUUUUGCUUUGGCCACCAGGAGGUUCAGAGGUAAAUCAGAUCUUAUUCCGGGCUCCUGAAGAGUUCUUCCUUCCAAUUCUCUAACUGGCCCGGGAAACCUCCUUUUGGUUUUACUUUUGGCUAUCUUAAAACCAUAAACUGCCUCAGAUACUUUCAGGAAGUAGGUGUGGUGUAAGUCUCAAGCAAACACACCCCAAGUACACCAAAGGCUUCCUCCUGCCUCCAUUAAAAUGGCACUCUCUGUGUAUCUUUUGCUGGAGGAUUUUCUCUGUAUUAGCUGAUAAAAUAACCCGUAGCAAUGUUGAGACUGAGAGGGCUGGAGCUGAACUGGACCACACAGGUCUCAGCAAAAGGAAGGCAUUAUCAUUACUAACUACCCCACGUCCUUUCCUGAUACUUACAAACCAGGAACACCAACACCCAGGAGAAUAGGAAAAGGCUUUUUCAGAACCCGCAUCUCCCAGCCCUCCCAGCCUGCUGCUCCUUGCAACCUGCCUGCUGUGUCUUUGAGGCCAUGCCAGCCAGCUAACAGAGGCCUUCCCAAGACACCAUCCCACACCAUAGAGGAGGUUCUACUGGUGGGAAUGGCAACAGGAAAUCUGAGAUUUUAGUGGCCCUGUCUACUGUCAGAUUCCAAACUCAGAGGAAAGCCUCCACAGUGGUACCUGGACAUCUCACACUAGUUCUGGGUUGUGAUGGGCAGGGCAGGCUGAGAGAGAAGAGGCCCAGGCAUUUAACCCAGCAGGAAAAGUCAGCAGCAUCUAAAGGUCAGGUAAGGUCAAGGGUCAAGCCCAAAGAGGACAAUCAUGUCUUCCAAGGUUGAGACAUCUGGACUUACCUUCUACAUGAGGCUCAGCUUUAACCCGGCCCCAUCUUGGCCACAUGUCUGUCCAGCCCCACCUUGAACAUCUCCAUGGAUGAAGAUUCAUUACAACCAAAGGGUCCUGAGUUAGUAAGAUAGGGAGGAACGGACAGGUGCUGAAUGACCUGGGCUUCAGGGUCCCAGAGGUCAAAGAGAUGUGAUGAGGUAGCACAUGGCUGAUGUAUAAUUCUAGGAUGGAGGCAGCUCCUUGGCUGAUCUUAUGGAACUUGUAGAUCCCAUAGGAACUGGCAGGAGCUGGAAGGACACCCAGAAGCAGGUGAACGGUCCCUCCGACAUGGGUAGCCAUGGCUACUUGGUCACCUCCCUGGGAGUGAGUCCACUGUGCGAUGUCUGGCCUCCCUCAAGAGAUGAGAGUGUCAUGCUGAUGGCUGUAGCCACGAAGAGCCAAGAAAGGCUGGAAAAGAAGGCUGCGCUCUCUCCAGGACAUCUUCUCUGGGAGCGAUGAAUCUGGAGUGAGGUUGAGGCGAUGCCUUGAUUUGUACUGUUUGCUGAUUCCCAUGGUGUAAAGACACCCACCGUGGUCCAUCUACAUGGCCAGUCUGCCUGUGUGAGGUCACUGACUCAGGGUUGGGAGAGGUACUAACAACCAUCUUAUAAGCUGGCCUCGCAUCACGGGGGGAGCGUGACCUGGUCUUCGCUGCUGCUCUGAUUCUAACCUGCCCUACAACUCCAAGCCUUCGUUUCCUCAUCUGUGCAACAGAGCGAUGAACCCCUGUCUUCAGGUGCCCCACAGGGGUCAUCAGGAAGAGAGUGAGUGAAAGGGCUUUGCUAUUUUUUAGCAAGCUCUCUGGGGAAAAAAAAAUAAUAAAAGAGCUUUAAAGUGU